CCAACAGGGAUUACCUCAGUAACGGCGAGUGAAGCGGUAACAGCUCAAAUUUGAAAUCUAGCGCUUUCAGCGUUCGAGUUGUAAUUUGUAGAAGAUGCUUUGGGUGUGGCUCCGGUCUAAGUUCCUUGGAACAGGACGUCAUAGAGGGUGAGAAUCCCGUAUGUGACUGGCUGCCUUCGCCUAUGUAAAGCUCUUUCGACGAGUCGAGUUGUUUGGGAAUGCAGCUCUAAAUGGGAGGUAUAUUUCUUCUAAAGCUAAAUAUUGGCCAGAGACCGAUAGCGCACAAGUAGAGUGAUCGAAAGAUGAAAAGCACUUUGGAAAGAGAGUUAAACAGUACGUGAAAUUGUUGAAAGGGAAGCGCUUGCAACCAGACUUGCCUGCCGUUGAUCAUCCUCCCUUCUGGGUGGUGCACUCAGCGGUGGUCAGGCCAGCAUCGGUUUUGGUGGUGGGAUAAAGGCCUUGGGAACGUAGCUCCUCUCGGGGAGUGUUAUAGCCCUCGGUGCAAUGCCGCCUACCGGGACCGAGGACCGCGCUUCGGCUAGGAUGCUGGCGUAAUGGUUGUAAGCGACCCGUCUUGAAACACGGACCAAGGAGUCUAACAUCUAUGCGAGUGUUUGGGUGUUAAACCCAUACGCGUAAUUAACGUGAACGGAGGUGAGAACCCUUUAGGGUGCAUCAUCGACCGAUCCUGAUGUCUUCGGAUGGAUUUGAGUAAGAGCAUAGCUGUUGGGACCCGAAAGAUGGUGAACUAUGCCUAAAUAGGGUGAAGCCAGAGGAAACUCUGGUGGAGGCUCGCAGCGGUUCUGACGUGCAAAUCGAUCGUCAAAUUUGGGUAUAGGGGCGAAAGACUAAUCGAACCAUUAACUACUAGGUGGUUAAGACUUAUGCAG
rnacentral:rRNA from 1 species